AAAGUGUGAUGGUCUUCCUUUAGUAGUUGAUCUAAUCAGUGGAGUCAUUUCAAGGAAUGAAAAGAAAGAGGCUUUCUGGCUUGAUAUUCUGAAUAAUUUGAGUUCCUUUAUUUUUAAGGAUGAAAAAGAAGUUGAGAAGGUUAUACAAUUAAGUUAUGACCAUUUGUCAGAUCACGUAAAGCCGUGUUUGAUUAGCCUUUCAACUUAUCCAAAGGACAAAGAUAUAAGGAUGUCUGAGUUGAAAGAUUUGUGGAUUUCUCAAGGACUUGAGAUGAGAAGUGCAGAAGAAGUAGUGGAUGAGUUAAUUUCAAGUAGUUUGGUG
rnacentral:misc_RNA from 1 species